UGGGGAAUAUUGCACAAUGGGCGCAAGCCUGAUGCAGCAACGCCGCGUGAGGGACGACGGCCUUCGGGUUGUAAACCUCUUUUAGUAGGGAAGAAGCGAAAGUGACGGUACCUGCAGAAAAAGCACCGGCUAACUACGUGCCAGCAGCCGCGGUAAUACGUAGGGUGCGAGCGUUGUCCGGAAUUAUUGGGCGUAAAGAGCUCGUAGGCGGUCUGUCGCGUCUGCUGUGAAAACCCGAGGCUCAACCUCGGGCCCUGCAGUGGGUACGGGCAGACUAGAGUGCGGUAGGGGAGAAUGGAAUUCCUGGUGUAGCGGUGGAAUGCGCAGAUAUCAGGAGGAACACCGAUGGCGAAGGCAGUUCUCUGGGCCGUAACUGACGCUGAGGAGCGAAAGCGUGGGGAGCGAACAGGAUUAGAU
rnacentral:rRNA from 1 species